GUGAUGUUUUAUUAUUGAUUUUAAUUGAUAUAGACAUUUUAAAGUAAUUUACUAGUAAAGUAAGUACCUAUUUAAAAUAAUGUGAAUGAGUGAUCAACAAGCCAUGACUAAGGAUUUUUUAGGGGUUUUGGGUUGCACUAUAAUUUCAUAAUAUUGUAAUAAUAAUUAAUUAUUGAUAAUGCUUAGUUAUAAAAUAUCAUGUUUAAACUUAGUUUCAAAUUUUAUGAAAAUGUUAUUAAGUACUGGGGCUUCUAAAAUAUUAUUAACCAGACUUAGUGAUCAACAUCCAGUUUAUAUCAUAGUUACUUUUUACUUUUUUAAUAGUAUAUUAACAUACACAGUUGAAUAAACUAAAAUACAAAAAUAUACUGAUAAUUAAUUGUAAUUGAAAUCAGUCAGUAAAAGGCAGCACACCUUUAGCACAAAAAUGUGCAAUACAAACUUACCUAAAGGUAUCUAAAUAUGUUUAUUUAUUCAUAUUUAAAUUUCGAUUUAUAAUUUUAUUAGUUAUGGACAAAUUUUUUUAUGGGUUUAUAAUAACUCCUGGUGUUCAGUUAAGUUCAGUUCGAAAUUAAAGCUGAAUAAUGCAAAUGGUCAAAUGGAACUUAAUAUUUGAAAAUCUAACUUAUUUUAUUGAAGAGGAAUACAACAAUGAAUUGAAAUUUAUUUUGGGUUAUAUCAGUUAGCAAAAUGUAAUUGGGUAUUAAUUUCUAAAAUAUACAUAUUAACUCUUGCCAUCAAAACACAGAAUACUAUUUUUAAAUAUUGCAAUAUUUGAUAUAGUUUAGAAUUUUAAACAGUUAGAUUAUUUUUUUAAAGUCCUAUUUAGAUUUAAAUAUAAAUUGUAAGUUAAGUUUAGUUUGAUUAAAAUUUAGUGUUUGUAACACCACUAAACAAGAUUAUACUUUUUAACUCAACUUGUAUGAAAAAAAAUUAAUAUUACACUGCAGUUCAUUCAAAUUGGAGUUUGGUAUAAGUAGCCCCAAACUCGAGGUACGGCUCAAACGACUGGCCACCCAAUUCUUUUGUAGGUGCCAGUGGUAAGAAAUGUAUAUAUUAAAAAUAUUUAUAGUAUUUAGUAUUUAUAGAAAAUAAAACUAUAAAAAAAGUACUAUGAAUUAUGUAAUAUAAUUUAUAUAUUAUGUUAUAUAAUAUAAUAAUCGGACUGGUUUGCCAAAUAUUUUUAAACUUCUCAAACACCACAGAACUAGUAACUAAAAAACAAAUUGAUUAGAAUAAUCAAAUACCGUAUAUACAUAAAUGAAUCUUUGUGUUAUUUAAACAUAAAUAUUAAAGAUUUAUAGAGAUCAAAGAAAAGUUUUCUUCAAAUAAAGAAAACCAAAAUC